rnacentral:sRNA from 12 species
UGCCUUACAAGUAGUUGUAAGGGUUGGAGAUUGUUGUCAACAGUUCUUCCACCAGCUCAGCUGAGCGGGUCUG